GGGGAGCUGCCCAACACCCCCCGGCGCAGCAGGGGCUGCGCCCGGCAGCCCGCAAGCACCAGCACCACGGCUCCAGCAGCCCUGCGCUGCCUUCUCCCUCGCCCUCCCCGACCCACCAGCCUCCCGCAAGCUUCCUUCCCUCCGCACCUUUUCUGCUGCCUCGCUCAGCCCUUCUCUUUCCCACCCUUGUCCCCAAAGGCCGAGGACAUCCUCGAGGCAGGCGUCCCCUCCGCUGAGCAAACGCGAUGCCUUCUGAUGAAGAAGACUCGGAGAACAACCUGCGGCAGCAGAAGGGCAGCCCAGCGAGCCAAGCUGCGACGAGGUUAUCGAUGCGGCCCGACAGAUACAUCUGCAAGUAUGUGAAGGACCUGGCUGCCUACACGGACCAAGCCAUCUCUCGGAGCAGCCAAAGGAAAAGGCCGAGCUCUUCUGCCUGCCCUGCGCGGAGGAUGUGGAAGACGAAGAGCAGGAAGAGGCAGCGGAGGCAGAGGAGCCAAGGGAGUCUGCUCGGGGCCGUUCUGCUGGAGCUCUUGCGGGAGGGAGGGCUGUGUCGCCCUGGCGCUGAGCACCCAGGGCAGAUGCCCAGGUGUUUGCAAUGCAGAGUGCUGGGCGGGAGCACAGGGAGGUGGGUGCUUGGGCACAGAGCUCGUCCUUCUGCCCUCUGAGCUCUUCUCCUUUCCUCCUCUCCCUUCUCGCAGCUUGCAGAGCAAAUGGCAGCUCCUGCAGCUGGCAGCACGGAUGAGGUUUGCUGCCAGGCAGCCCGAAACAGCAGACUAAGGAAAUGCAUCAGCUUUCCUAGGCCCCACAUGUGCAACCAAGAGGUAUUCUUCUGGGGAAUCAAGUGCUGAGACAUAAGUGGGGAGCUGGCUUGGUGGAGGGAACAGAGCGAGACGAUGCCCUGCAAGCAGGGUGAUCCCCACCCUGUGCUGGCGCGGGGGUGCCACCUUCUCCCAAUCCUCCGAUCCGGCAUAACUUCAGCUGUGAGCCCCGUGCUCUGCAGCAGGGGAUUUUGGCAUGAAGAAGCUGUGUCUCUGGGGUGUCAAGAGGUCUCUUUUAGGGGCCCAGCCAAGCGCUCACAUGUGUGGACUAGCCUGCAACAACUGGAGUCCCAGGGUGGGUGAGGCCAGAAAGGUGCUAACGUGCUUUGGGGCAGGUCUUUCCCAGGCCUGACGUGCACCCAGGAAGACCCCUGGUGCUGCUGCUGCUGCUUUAUUCCUCGUGGUGCUCUCUUGCUCCUCAGAACUUGAGCGAGGUGAGCAGGGCAGACCCCGAGGUCACRGUCGGGUUCAACCAGGAGCUGAGACCGCCAGGCAAGUUCAGCCACCGUCCCAGUGACCGUCCUCCGUGCCUGCUGGCGGCUGCACGCCAAGAGGCGCCGAACCGCCACCGCCGAGGAGCGGCCGCUUGGCGCGGGCAGGGCCACCGCCGAGGCCGAGGGCGCAGCGCCUUCGCCCGC
rnacentral:lncRNA from 1 species